rnacentral:misc_RNA from 1 species
GAUGAAGAACGUAGCGAAAUGCGAUAAGUAAUGUGAAUUGCAGAAUUCAGUGAAUCAUCGAAUCUUUGAACGCACAUUGCGCCCGCCAGUAUUCUGGCGGGCAUGCCUGUUCGAGCGUCAUUACAACCCUCAGGCCCCCGGGCCUGGCGUUGGGGAUCAGCGGAAGCCCCCUGUGGGCACACGCCGUCCCUCAAAUACAGUGGCGGUCCCGCCGCAGCUUCCAUUGCGUAGUAGCUAACACCUCGCAACUGGAGAGCGGCGCGGCCAUGCCGUAAAACACCCAACUUCUGAAUGUUGACCUCGAAUCAGGUAGGAAUACCCGCUGAACUUAAGCAUAUCAAUAAGCGGAGGA